CAGUCGAACGAAGCACUUUAUUUGAUUUCUUCGGAAUGAAGAUUUUGUGACUGAGUGGCGGACGGGUGAGUAACGCGUGGGUAACCUGCCUCAUACAGGGGGAUAACAGUUGGAAACGACUGCUAAUACCGCAUAAGCGCACAGGGUCGCAUGACCUGGUGUGAAAAACUCCGGUGGUAUGAGAUGGACCCGCGUCUGAUUAGCCAGUUGGUGGGGUAACGGCCUACCAAAGCGACGAUCAGUAGCCGACCUGAGAGGGUGACCGGCCACAUUGGGACUGAGACACGGCCCAAACUCCUACGGGAGGCAGCAGUGGGGAAUAUUGCACAAUGGGGGAAACCCUGAUGCAGCGACGCCGCGUGAGCGAAGAAGUAUUUCGGUAUGUAAAGCUCUAUCAGCAGGGAAGAAGAAAUGACGGUACCUGACUAAGAAGCACCGGCUAAAUACGUGCCAGCAGCCGCGGUAAUACGUAUGGUGCAAGCGUUAUCCGGAUUUACUGGGUGUAAAGGGGGCGCAGGCGGUACGGCAAGUCUGAUGUGAAAGCCCGGGGCUCAACCCCGGUACUGCAUUGGAAACUGUCGGACUAGAGUGUCGGAGGGGUAAGUGGAAUUCCUAGUGUAGCGGUGAAAUGCGUAGAUAUUAGGAGGAACACCAGUGGCGAAGGCGGCUUACUGGACGAUUACUGACGCUG
rnacentral:rRNA from 1 species